CAGCCGCCGCGGGAAUACGAAGGGUGCAAGCGUUAAUCGGAAUUACUGGGCGUAAAGCGUGCGUAGGCGGUGAGUUAAGUCUGCUGUGAAAUCCCCGGGCUCAACCUGGGAAUGGCAGUGGAUACUGGCUCGCUAGAGUGUGUCAGAGGAUGGUGGAAUUCCCGGUGUAGCGGUGAAAUGCGUAGAGAUCGGGAGGAACAUCAGUGGCGAAGGCGGCCAUCUGGGACAACACUGACGCUGAGGCACAAAAGCGAGGGGAGCAAAUGGGAUUAGAUACCCCUGUAGUCCCUGUCUCUUAUAC
rnacentral:rRNA from 1 species